CUGAAUUCAGGCCAACAUGGGAUCAGACCAACCUCACAUAAGCAGCUUUAGGGUGAUGUCAGCAAAGCGGUUGGUAUGAAUUCCCAGCAGCAGCAGGGUCAGUGCUGAGGGGUGAGGGCUUCCUGAAAGCUGGGAGAGAUGCUAGGGGUCCCAUCCAUGAAUUUACAACUGUGAGCAUGACACAGUCCAGUCAGGGUACGUUUUAGAAGAGUGGCCUGGAUAAGGGUUAAUGACUGCUCUACAGAAUAAAUUAUUUCAGAGCCAUUCUCCAACUAGGGAAGCCUGCUGCUGUAACCCCACAACCCCAGACUUGCAAAUCAACAGAAAAAUGCUGUUCACCAGAGAUUCUUAGACACUUCAGCUGAAAGGACUCCCUGAAGGUGUUUAACCCAAGAUGGAAUCCACGGUGCUCUAUCAGACCAAACCUGGCUUUUUCUAGCUAUACCUUGAUGUCCUACAAAGACAAAGUCACAGGAACAGUGCUUGGGGACUACAAGAGAUGCAGGAUCUGGUGCUCAGCAAAGCAGAUAUGGUCAGUCAGCUGGAGAGAACUAGUCCUCAUCAGUGUGGGUGAGACCAACUCCAGAAGAUGAUAUAUCAGCAGUGCUGUUGUAGCCACAGGAAUGAAUGGCUCAUUAUUCCUGGAAAGAUGUCUAGGACUGGAAGAUGAGCCAUACUGUGUUUUCCAUUAUUAUGAAGGAAGCACUGGGCAAACUUAUUCUUGUGAAUGCAGGUCAGCAUGGUCAUGAAAACACAUCACAGGUCUCCUGAGAUGCAGGUGAUCCAGGACAGGAUUAUUCUCAAAAAGUGUCCACUCAAAAAGGAAAAGUCACAUUACAAACCUCAGCACAUCCUUUCCUUGCCUGCUCUGGGAUUUUGCUACUCAGGAGAUAAGAGUAAGAAUGAGCUGCCAUGUCAUUGAAAAUAGCAAAUGUCACUGGAAGUAGAGCAAAGCAACAACAGCUGCAAAAUCUGCAAGCCAGGCUGGUGAAUUUUGCCCUGGACUGUAAUUCUGCAUCACCCCUGAUCAGUCAUGAGGAUUUGGCCAAUGAGAUGGGAGUUGUUGGGCUUGGUGAAGGACCUCACACUCAUCUCUGACAUGGGCAAAGA